UGACACUUGGAUUGAUUACUUUGUCCUUUGCAAAAUGCAGGGGAUGUGGUUGCUGAGUCUAUAAAGGUCUGCCCCCAUGUCUUUGUUAUUUAGUGGGGCGUCUUCUUGUUCCGCUGCAUGAGUAUGUUCUUCAUGAAUGAGAUUGACUGUGUGUGUCAUUUCAGCCAGUAGACCCUCACGGGACAGCAGAGAAAGCCGUUGGAAUGUUUCACUAGCCAGACCACAUACAAUAGGUACCCUGCAGCUAACAAGAGGAGCCUCUUCCAACGACUAAAGGAAGUUCAUGACCGCUUAGUCGCCAACAUUUUAAAUUGCAACUGUAAUUUAUGGGAGAUUUCCCUUUCCUGUCAUCUAUGCUACAACGGAGGUACCAAAUGACAGGGCUCAUGAAAGCCAGAAAACUGGCAGCAAAGAGUCCCCAACUCAGAGGAAGAAAAUGUAGUUGCUGUGUGUACUGCCCUCCUAAUGACCUCAACCUCUGACAGGAAUCAGUGAGGGAGAAAGAUAUUUCAGUGCCCAAGCAGGCUCAGACAGCAAGGUCACAGAUUGCAAUGUAACAGAAUAUCAGGGAUACAUGAGCCCAGGAUUUCCCAUCGUUUCAAAGGCUUGUCAGCACCAAGAGACAAUCUACAUUUAACACUUAGAAUGCUACAAUUUCCAGAUUGCCAGCCAGAAAGAGAUUUAUGUCUGCAACUUCCAGAAGCCUAAAUUACAGUAAAUUGCUUUAACUAAUACACAGGCUUUACGGUUGGUUUGUCUUGACACCUUUCCGAAGAUCUCACAUCAGGAAUAACUAAGGGAUUCCGUCUCGGAUUUCUUUCUAUUUUCUCUGACUUGCUCUUUUUGGGCUCAGUCCUGCAAGGUUCUGAGAGCUCUGGCCUCAAUCCAACAAGGCGCAUAAGCACGUGGUUACUUUAAGAACAUGAAUAAUCCCACUGAUUUUACUGGAUUGGGGACAGAAUGCUCAGCAUUUUACAGGAUAGAGCCCAUUAUUUUUAUUUGUAUAGUGGCAACAUAAGAACAUAAGAACGGCCAUACUGGGUCAGAACAAAGGUCCAUGUAGCCCAGUAUCCUGUCUGCUGACAGUGG